rnacentral:rRNA from 1 species
CCUACGGGUGGCAGCAGUGAGGAAUAUUGGUCAAUGGCCGUAAGGCUGAACCAGCCAAGUAGCGUGAGGGAAGACUGCCCUAUGGGUUGUAAACCUCUUUUAUAAGGGAAUAAAGUGUGGGACGUGUCCUGUUUUGUAUGUACCUUAUGAAUAAGGAUCGGCUAACUCCGUGCCAGCAGCCGCGGUAAUACGGAGGACCCGAGCGUUAUCCGGAUUUAUUGGGUUUAAAGGGAGCGUAGAUGGGUUGUUAAGUCAGUUGUGAAAGUUUGCGGCUCAACCGUAAAAUUGCAAUUGAUACUGGCAGUCUUGAGUACAGUUGAGGUAGGCGGAAUUCGUGGUGUAGCGGUGAAAUGCUUAGAUAUCACGAAGAACUCCGAUUGCGAAGGCAGCUUACUAAACUGCCACUGACAUUGAUGCUCGAAAGUGUGGGUAUCAAACAGGAUUAGAUACCCUAGUAGUC